rnacentral:rRNA from 1 species
UCCAGACUCCUACGGGAGGCAGCAGUAGGGGAUAUUGCACAAUGGGGGGAACCCUGAUGCAGCGACGCCGCGUGGGUGAAGGAGCGUUUCGGCGCGUAAAGCCCUAUCGGCAGGGAAGAAGGAGGACGGUACCUGACUAAGAAGCCCCGGCUAACUACGUGCCAGCAGCCGCGGUAAUACGUAGGGGGCAAGCGUUAUCCGGAUUUACUGGGUGUAAAGGGGGCGCAGACGGCAGCGCAAGCCAGGAGUGAAAGCCCGGGGCCCAACCCCGGGACUGCUCUUGGAACUGCGCGGCUGGAGUGCAGGAGGGGCAGGCGGAAUUCCUGGUGUAGCGGUGAAAUGCGUAGAUAUCAGGAGGAACACCGGUGGCGAAGGCGGCCUGCUGGACGACAACUGACGGUGAGGCGCGAAAGCGUGGGGAGCAAACAGGAUUAGAUACCCGGGUAAA